GACGAACGCUGGCGGCGUGCUUAACACAUGCAAGUCGAACGGAAAGGCCCUGCUUGCAGGGUACUCGAGUGGCGAACGGGUGAGUAACACGUGGGUGAUCUGCCCUGCACUUCGGGAUAAGCCUGGGAAACUGGGUCUAAUACCGGAUAGGAGCCAUUUUUAGUGUGAUGGUUGGAAAGUUUUUUCAGUGUAGGAUGAGCUCGCGGCCUAUCAGCUUGUUGGUGGGGUAAUGGCCUACCAAGGCGGCGACGGGUAGCCGGCCUGAGAGGGUGGACGGCCACAUUGGGACUGAGAUACGGCCCAGACUCCUACGGGAGGCAGCAGUGGGGAAUAUUGCACAAUGGGCGCAAGCCUGAUGCAGCGACGCCGCGUGGGGGAGGACGGCCUUCGGGUUGUAAACUCCUUUCGCUAGGGACGAAGCUUUUUGUGACGGUACCUAGAUAAGAAGCACCGGCUAACUACGUG
rnacentral:rRNA from 1 species